AGAGUUUGAUCCUGGCUCAGAUUGAACGCUGGCGGCAGGCCUAACACAUGCAAGUCGAGCGGGGUUUUCGGACCUAUCGGCGGACGGGUGAGUAAUGCGUAGGAAGCUACCCGAUAGAGGGGGAUACCAGUUGGAAACGACUGUUAAUACCGCAUAAUGUCUACGGACCAAAGUGUGGGACCUUCGGGCCACAUGCUAUCGGAUGCGCCUACGUGGGAUUAGCUAGUUGGUGGGGUAAUGGCUCACCAAGGCGACGAUCCCUAGCUGGUUUGAGAGGAUGAUCAGCCACACUGGAACUGAGACACGGUCCAGACUCCUACGGGAGGCAGCAGUGGGGAAUAUUGGACAAUGGGCGCAAGCCUGAUCCAGCCAUGCCGCGUGUGUGAAGAAGGCCUUCGGGUUGUAAAGCACUUUCAGCGAGGAGGAAGGGUUAGUAGUUAAUAGCUGCUACUUUUGACGUUACUCGCAGAAGAAGCACCGGCUAACUCUGUGCCAGCAGCCGCGGUAAUACAGAGGGUGCAAGCGUUAAUCGGAAUUACUGGGCGUAAAGCGCACGUAGGCGGUUUUUU
rnacentral:rRNA from 1 species